AGAGUUUGAUCCUGGCUCAGAGCGAACGCUGGCGGCAGGCUUAACACAUGCAAGUCGAGCGGGCGUAGCAAUACGUCAGCGGCAGACGGGUGAGUAACGCGUGGGAACGUACCUUUUGGUUCGGAACAACCCAGGGAAACUUGGGCUAAUACCGGAUAAGCCCUUACGGGGAAAGAUUUAUCGCCAAAAGAUCGGCCCGCGUCUGAUUAGCUAGUUGGUGGGGUAAUGGCCCACCAAGGCGACGAUCAGUAGCUGGUCUGAGAGGAUGAUCAGCCACAUUGGGACUGAGACACGGCCCAAACUCCUACGGGAGGCAGCAGUGGGGAAUAUUGGACAAUGGGCGCAAGCCUGAUCCAGCCAUGCCGCGUGAGUGAUGAAGGCCCUAGGGUUGUAAAGCUCUUUUGUGCGGGAAGAUAAUGACGGUACCGCAAGAAUAAGCCCCGGCUAACUUCGUGCCAGCAGCCGCGGUAAUACGAAGGGGGCUAGCGUUGCUCGGAAUCACUGGGCGUAAAGGGUGCGUAGGCGGGUCUUUAAGUCAGGGGUGAAAUCCUGGAGCUCAACUCCAGAACUGCCUUUGAUACUGAAGGUCUUGAGUUCGGGAGAGGUGAGUGGAACUGCGAGUGUAGAGGUGAAAUUCGUAGAUAUUCGCAAGAACACCAGUGGCGAAGGCGGCUCACUGGCCCGAUACUGACGCUGAUGCACGAAAGCGUGGGGAGCAAACAGGAUUAGAUACCCUAGUAGUCC
rnacentral:rRNA from 1 species